rnacentral:rRNA from 1 species
UACGUAGGGAGCAAGCGUUGUCCGGAAUCAUUGGGCGUAAAGCGCGCGUAGGUGGCUUCGUAAGUCCGUUGUGAAAGUCAAGGGCUCAACCUUUGAAAGCCGAUGGAUACUGUGAAGCUAGAGUACGGAAGAGGCGAGUGGAAUUCCUGGUGUAGCGGUGGAAUGCGCAGAUAUUAGGAGGAACACCAAUAGCGAAGGCAGCUCGCUGGGACGUUACUGACACUGAGGCGCGAAGGCGUGGGGAGCGAACGGG